CCUACGGGAGGCAGCAGUAGGGAAUCUUCCACAAUGGGCGAAAGCCUGAUGGAGCAACGCCGCGUGAGUGAGGAAGGCUUUCGGGUCGUAAAGCUCUGUUGCCAGGGAAGAAUAAGGGUGAGAGUAACUGCUCAUCCGAUGACGGUACCUGAGAAGAAAGCCCCGGCUAACUACGUGCCAGCAGCCGCGGUAAUACGUAGGGGGCAAGCGUUGUCCGGAAUUAUUGGGCGUAAAGCGCGCGCAGGCGGUUCUUUAAGUCUGGUGUCUAAGUGCGGGGCUCAACCCCGUGAUGCACUGGAAACUGGGGAACUUGAGUGCAGAAGAGGAGAGCGGAAUUCCACGUGUAGCGGUGAAAUGCGUAGAGAUGUGGAGGAACACCAGUGGCGAAGGCGGCUCUCUGGACUGUAACUGACGCUGAGGCGCGAAAGCGUGGGGAGCAAACAGGAUUAGAUACCCUGGUAGUCCACGCCGUAAACGAUGAGUGCUAGGUGUUGGGGGUAUCAUGCCCCGUGCCGAUUACAUUAUUAAGCACGCCGCCGGGCAGACGUCGCAGACU
rnacentral:rRNA from 1 species